UAGUAAUGUGUGCCAGCGCCGCGGUAAUACGGAGGAUCCGAGCGUUAUCCGGAUUUAUUGGGUUUAAAGGGAGCGUAGAUGGGUUGUUAAGUCAGUUGUGAAAGUUUGCGGCUCAACCGUAAAAUUGCAAUUGAUACUGGCAGUCUUGAGUACAGUUGAGGUAGGCGGAAUUCGUGGUGUAGCGGUGAAAUGCUUAGAUAUCACGAAGAACUCCGAUUGCGAAGGCAGCUUACUAACCUGUAACUGACAUUGAUGCUCGAAAGUGUGGGUAUCAAACAGG
rnacentral:rRNA from 1 species